CUCACUUGAACCCAGGAGGCGGAGGUUGCAGUGAUCGGAGAUCACGCCACUGCACUCCAGCCUGGGCGACAGUGCGAGACUCCAUCUCAAAAAUAAUAAUAAUAACAAUAAUCAAGUGGAUAGGAUGACACCAGUCAGCCUCUUUGUCCAGCCACCCUUGUCAUCAUCCAUGGGCUCCUGAGCAAAAAGUGGCCAUGGUGGCAGGGAUGGAAGCUAUGCACAGGCUCAGCAACACAGAAUUGCCACUCACGAAGGCUGACCCAGCAAUUGCUCCCACUGUGUGUCCAAUCUACCCUCAAGAGAGACAAUAUACCCAAUCUACUGUGUGCCCAAUCUACCCUCAGCAGAGACAACACUGAGCCCUCAACAUGGUGCCAUUUUCCAAAGUGUUCAGCCAAAUACAUGGUGGCAGGUUGAUUACGUUGGACAGUUUCCAUCACAAAAGGGACAGAGUUUUGUUCUUACUGGAAUAGACAUUCUAGAUAUUGAUUUCCUUUCCCUGCACACAAUGCUUCUGCCAAAACUACCAUCUGUGGACUUCCAGAAUGCCUUAUCCACCAUCACGGUAUUCCACACAGUAUUGCUGAUCAAGGAAUUUACUUCACAGCCCAUGAAGUGUGGCCCUGGCUCAUCCUCGUGGAAUCUACUGAUCUUAUUAUGUUUUUGACUAUCCUGAAGCAGCUGGCUUCAUAGAAUGGUGGAAUGGCCUUUUGAAAAUGCAGUUACAGCACCUACUAGGUGGCAACACCUUGUGGGGCUGGGGCAAGGUUCUCCAGCAGGCUGUGCAUUCUCUGAAUCUGUGUCCCAUAUAGGGUGCUGUUUCUCUGAUAGUCAGGAUUUCUUCAAUAGUCCAGGAAUCUAGGAUGGAAAUGGGAGUGGCACCAUUCACUAUUACGCGUAGUAACCACUAGGACAUUGUUUGCUUCCUGUCUCUGCAACUUUGUGCUGUGCUCUGCUCAUCUAGAGGUUUUAGUUCCAAAGCAAGGAAUGCUUCCACCAAGAGACACAAUACUGAUUCCAUUGAACUGGAAGUUAAGACUGCCAUCCGGCCACUUUGAGCUCCUUGUGCAAAUGAACUAACAGGCAAAGAAGAGAGUUACUGUACUGGCUGGGGAAACUGAUCUGGAGUACAAACAGGAAACCGGACCGCUACUGCACACAGAAGAUAAGGAAGAACACGUGUGGAAUAGAAGAGCUCCCUUAGAGCAUCUCUUAAUACUACCAUGCCCUGUGAUUAAAGUCCAUAAAAAAAAACAAAAACAGAGCACAACGCAGGCAGAACUACUAAUGGCCCAAACCUUUUAAUAAUGAAGUUCAGGUCACUUCAUCAGGUGCUCACUGAAGGCAAAGGGAAUACAGAAUGCACAGAAGACAAGGGUAACUGGAAAUACCAGCUAUGACCACGUGACAGAAACAAGGACUGUAACUGUUAUAAGUGCUUCUUCCUUAUUUUGUUACAAAUAUGUUUGUGUGUAUGUGUUUGAAAAAACAUUUGUUUUCUUCCAUCUCUUAUUGCCUUAUCAUAUAAGAUGUAUUAGUUUUAUAUCUUAGUGUUUAAGUUAUAGGAUAUCAAAGAAAAGUAAAUGUCCUUCAAGGACUUUCUGUCUUUUUCUGGGGUAAGGGUUAGUGCAUUUUUGGUUGUAGGCAGAAUAGUUGUAUCAUGCUAGGUGGAAGUAUGACCUUGUUAUUUAAUGCCUCUGUUUGGAGAUGAAGUACAGUUUAAAGGAAAUGCGUCUGGUGACAAGGGGUGAACUAUGAUGACUGAGUCUGUGUGUCGACGUGGCUAGGCUAUAGUGCCAAGUUGCCUGGCCACAACAUCAGUGUAGACGUGCUGUGAAGGUAGGGACGUGGAUGAAGCUGGAAACCACCAUUCUCAGCAAACUAU
rnacentral:lncRNA from 10 species